GUAGGUGGCAAGCGUUGUCCGGAAUUAUUGGGCGUAAAGCGCGCGCAGGCGGUUCUUUAAGUCUGAUGUGAAAGCCCACGGCUCAACCGUGGAGGGUCAUUGGAAACUGGAGAACUUGAGUACAGAAGAGGAAAGCGGAAUUCCACGUGUAGCGGUGAAAUGCGUUGAGAUGUGGAGGAACACCAGUGGCGAAGGCGGCUUUCUGGUCUGUAACUGACGCUGAGGCGCGAAAGCGUGGGGAGCAAACAGGAUUAGAUACCCUGGUAGUCCACGCCGUAAACGAUGAGUGCUAAGUGUUAGGGGGUUUCCGCCCCCCUUAGUGCUGCAGCUAACGCAUUAAGCACUCCGCCUGGGAGUACGGCCGCAAGGCUG
rnacentral:rRNA from 1 species